rnacentral:misc_RNA from 1 species
UUUAUUACCCGCUCGCUAACCCAUUUAUCGACACCCAAAAAUGUUCGCCUGGUUUCACUGGGCAUCCCCGCAUUCUUUAUUCCUGUCAUGCUGGUGCACAGUAAUGACCUUUCACUGGAUAACGCAACCAUCUGCCUGCUCAAGCAGAUCAAAAAUUUUUACACGGUAGAUAACAAAUCAGCGCCAGAAAAGAGCUGGCCCGAGCAGAAAAUAGGCGUAUAAUGCCCGCCCGAUUUGUGUUGUUUCUGAGAAUUUCCUGAUGGCGCUGUUAAUCACCAAAAAAUGCAUCAACUGCGAUAUGUGCGAGCCAGAGUGCCCGAAUGAGGCGAUAUCCAUGGGUGAUAGCAUUUAUGAAAUUAACAGCGACAAAUGCACCGAGUGUGUAGGUCAUUAC